rnacentral:rRNA from 1 species
UACGUAGGGAGCAAGCGUUGUCCGGAAUCAUUGGGCGUAAAGCGCGCGUAGGUGGCCUCAUAAGUCCGCUGUGAAAGUCAAAGGCUCAACCUUUGAAAGCCGGUGGAUACUGUGAGGCUAGAGUACGGAAGAGGCGAGUGGAAUUCCUGGUGUAGCGGUGAAAUGCGCAGAUAUCAGGAGGAACACCGGUGGCGAAGGCGGAUCUCUGGGCCAUUACUGACGCUGAGGAGCGAAAGCGUGGGGAGCGAACAGG